ensembl:ncRNA F59D12.8 ncRNA
GUGCAAAUGCUCUAAAAUGCUCGGAAAAAAACGCGGCGAAAUGCAUAGUUGUUGGACGCGGCCAACAGUGAGAGCACCGGGAAUAGGACAAGAAAAGUGGGAAAGAAUGACGUGUGUUUUGAUUCAAUCUUAAUCGCGUAAAAGG